rnacentral:misc_RNA from 1 species
AACGCACAUUGCGCCCUUUGGCAUUCCGAAGGGCAUGCCCGUUCGAGCGUCAUUUCACCAAUCAAGCCUGGCUUGGUGUUGGGCCCCGGGGGUGACCCGGACCCCAAUGUCCGCCGGCCGGACGACCCGGACCUCAGCGUUAUGGCACUUCUUACGAGUACCGCUGGAGGGGAAGGGGCGACCGCGCCGUCACAAAAACACUUCUGAAAAGGUUGACCUCGGAUCGGGUAGGGAUACCCGCUGAACUUAA